AUUGAACGCUGGCGGCAUGCUUUACACAUGCAAGUCGGACGGCAGCACAGAGAAGCUUGCUUCUUGGGUGGCGAGUGGCGAACGGGUGAGUAAUAUAUCGGAACGUACCGAGUAAUGGGGGAUAACUAAUCGAAAGAUUAGCUAAUACCGCAUAUUCUCUGAGGAGGAAAGCAGGGGACCUUCGGGCCUUGCGUUAUUCGAGCGGCCGAUAUCUGAUUAGCUAGUUGGUGGGGUAAAGGCCUACCAAGGCGACGAUCAGUAGCGGGUCUGAGAGGAUGAUCCGCCACACUGGGACUGAGACACGGCCCAGACUCCUACGGGAGGCAGCAGUGGGGAAUUUUGGACAAUGGGCGCAAGCCUGAUCCAGCCAUGCCGCGUGUCUGAAGAAGGCCUUCGGGUUGUAAAGGACUUUUGUCAGGGAAGAAAAGGAUAGGGUUAAUACCCCUGUCUGAUGACG
rnacentral:rRNA from 1 species